rnacentral:rRNA from 1 species
GUGAGGAAUAUUGGUCAAUGGGCGAGAGCCUGAACCAGCCAAGUCGCGUGAAGGAAGAAGGAUCUAUGGUUCGUAAACUUCUUUUGCAGGGGAAUAAAGUGCAGGACGUGUCCUGUUUUGUAUGUACCCUGAGAAUAAGGAUCGGCUAACUCCGUGCCAGCAGCCGCGGUAAUACGGAGGAUCCGAGCGUUAUCCGGAUUUAUUGGGUUUAAAGGGUGCGUAGGUGGUUUGAUAAGUCAGCGGUGAAAGUUUGCAGCUUAACUGUAAAAAUGCCGUUGAAACUGUCGGACUUGAGUGUAAAUGAGGUAGGCGGAAUGCGUGGUGUAGCGGUGAAAUGCAUAGAUAUCACACAGAACUCCGAUUGCGAAGGCAGCUUACUAAGCUACAACUGACACUGAAGCACGAAAGCGUGGGGAUCAAACAGGAUUAGAUACCCCGGUAGUCC